rfam:Treponema denticola ATCC 35405, complete genome.
ACCGGCACGGAUGCCGGUGUUUCCAGCCUUGAGAGUUUUAGACGCAAGUCUAAAACUCUAAGAUGAAAAAUGUACAUGGAAGUACAUUUUUCAUCGGCA